ACCUGAUGAUGAGAACAUUUACGAAGAAGGUACCUAAAACGCUCCCAGGUCUCAAAGAAAAGUUCCCUAUCCAUCUAUGUGAAACUUGUGAUUGCCCUUCGCAGCU